rnacentral:rRNA from 1 species
AAAUUGAAGAGUUUGAUCAUGGCUCAGAUUGAACGCUGGCGGCAGGCCUAACACAUGCAAGUCGAACGGUAACAGGAAACAGCUUGCUGUUUCGCUGACGAGUGGCGGACGGGUGAGUAAUGUCUGGGAAACUGCCUGAUGGAGGGGGAUAACUACUGGAAACGGUAGCUAAUACCGCAUAACGUCGCAAGACCAAAGAGGGGGACCUUCGGGCCUCUUGCCAUCGGAUGUGCCCAGAUGGGAUUAGCUAGUAGAUGGGGUAACGGCUCACCUAGGCGACGAUCCCUAGCUGGUCUGAGAGGAUGACCAGCCACACUGGAACUGAGACACGGUCCAGACUCCUACGGGAGGCAGCAGUGGGGAAUAUUGCACAAUGGGCGCAAGCCUGAUGCAGCCAUGCCGCGUGUAUGAAGAAGGCCUUCGGGUUGUAAAGUACUUUCAGCGGGGAGGAAGGGAGUAAAGUUAAUACCUUUGCUCAUUGACGUUACCCGCAGAAGAAGCACCGGCUAACUCCGUGCCAGCAGCCGCGGUAAUACGGAGGGUGCAAGCGUUAAUCGGAAUUACUGGGCGUAAAGCGCACGCAGGCGGUUUGUUAAGUCAGAUGUGAAAUCCCCGGGCUCAACCUGGGAACUGCAUCUGAUACUGGCAAGCUUGAGUCUCGUAGAGGGGGGUAGAAUUCCAGGUGUAGCGGUGAAAUGCGUAGAGAUCUGGAGGAAUACCGGUGGCGAAGGCGGCCCCCUGGACGAAGACUGACGCUCAGGUGCGAAAGCGUGGGGAGCAAACAGGAUUAGAUACCCUGGUAGUCCACGCCGUAAACGAUGUCGACUUGGAGGUUGUGCCCUUGAGGCGUGGCUUCCGGAGCUAACGCGUUAAGUCGACCGCCUGGGGAGUACGGCCGCAAGGUUAAAACUCAAAUGAAUUGACGGGGGCCCGCACAAGCGGUGGAGCAUGUGGUUUAAUUCGAUGCAACGCGAAGAACCUUACCUGGUCUUGACAUCCACGGAAGUUUUCAGAGAUGAGAAUGUGCCUUCGGGAACCGUGAGACAGGUGCUGCAUGGCUGUCGUCAGCUCGUGUUGUGAAAUGUUGGGUUAAGUCCCGCAACGAGCGCAACCCUUAUCCUUUGUUGCCAGCGGUCCGGCCGGGAACUCAAAGGAGACUGCCAGUGAUAAACUGGAGGAAGGUGGGGAUGACGUCAAGUCAUCAUGGCCCUUACGACCAGGGCUACACACGUGCUACAAUGGCGCAUACAAAGAGAAGCGACCUCGCGAGAGCAAGCGGACCUCAUAAAGUGCGUCGUAGUCCGGAUUGGAGUCUGCAACUCGACUCCAUGAAGUCGGAAUCGCUAGUAAUCGUGGAUCAGAAUGCCACGGUGAAUACGUUCCCGGGCCUUGUACACACCGCCCGUCACACCAUGGGAGUGGGUUGCAAAAGAAGUAGGUAGCUUAACCUUCGGGAGGGCGCUUACCACUUUGUGAUUCAUGACUGGGGUGAAGUCGUAACAAGGUAACCGUAGGGGAACCUGCGGUUGGAUCACCUCCUUACCUUAAAGAAGC